CAUAGGUUAAUGAGGCGAACCGGGGGAACUGAAACAUCUAAGUACCCCGAGGAAAAGAAAUCAACCGAGAUUCCCCCAGUAGCGGCGAGCGAACGGGGAGGAGCCCAGAGCCUGAAUCAGUGUGUGUGUUAGUGGAAGCGUCUGGAAAGGCGCGCGAUACAGGGUGACAGCCCCGUACACAAAAAUGCACAUGCUGUGAGCUCGAUGAGUAGGGCGGGACACGUGGUAUCCUGUCUGAAUAUGGGGGGACCAUCCUCCAAGGCUAAAUACUCCUGACUGACCGAUAGUGAACCAGUACCGUGAGGGAAAGGCGAAAAGAACCCCGGCGAGGGGAGUGAAAAAGAACCUGAAACCGUGUACGUACAAGCAGUGGGAGCACGCUUAGGCGUGUGACUGCGUACCUUUUGUAUAAUGGGUCAGCGACUUAUAUUCUGUAGCAAGGUUAACCGAAUAGGGGAGCCGAAGGGAAACCGAGUCUUAACUGGGCGUUAAGUUGCAGGGUAUAGACCCGAAACCCGGUGAUCUAGCCAUGGGCAGGUUGAAGGUUGGGUAACACUAACUGGAGGACCGAACCGACUAAUGUUGAAAAAUUAGCGGAUGACUUGUGGCUGGGGGUGAAAGGCCAAUCAAACCGGGAGAUAGCUGGUUCUCCCCGAAAGCUAUUUAGGUAGCGCCUCGUGAAUUCAUCUCCGGGGGUAGAGCACUGUUUCGGCAAGGGGGUCAUCCCGACUUACCAACCCGAUGCAAACUGCGAAUACCGGAGAAUGUUAUCACGGGAGACACACGGCGGGUGCUAACGUCCGUCGUGAAGAGGGAAACAACCCAGACCGCCAGCUAAGGUCCCAAAGUCAUGGUUAAGUGGGAAACGAUGUGGGAAGGCCCAGACAGCCAGGAUGUUGGCUUAGAAGCAGCCAUCAUUUAAAGAAAGCGUAAUAGCUCACUGGUCGAGUCGGCCUGCGCGGAAGAUGUAACGGGGCUAAACCAUGCACCGAAGCUGCGGCAGCGACACUAUG
rnacentral:rRNA from 1 species